AGACGAUAAAUUUGUCAACAAUCACCUUUAGUUCAUGUUCUUGUACAAUACAAUUUCUUGAACCUUCUGGCUGUAGUUAUUCCUAGUUUUUAGAAUGACAUGUUUAUUUUUGCGCUCGAAAUCUGGCUGUAAAGACACACAAUGAAGUCACUCCUUUUUACCGCCAUUUUGAGCCUUCGGAAACGUUCGGAACAGCUUCUCAUUAAGUUCGCAAUACUAUUACAGGUAAGGUUGACGCAUGCGCAGACGUUUUUCCGCGGUGUUCUGAGUCAGUGUGUUUGUUUCUAUUCUGUGACUAUGCCUUGGGCACUCGCAAAAACACUCAGGUUGUUGCAAUAUUGAUGAAAACAGGAUUGAACAAUGUUUUGUUGCCCACAUUGUUCACAGUUGUCAACAAUAUUGAACAAUAUUAUUACACCCGAUCUAGGC